rnacentral:rRNA from 1 species
UACGUAGGGUGCAAGCGUUGUCCGGAAUUAUUGGGCGUAAAGAGCUUGUAGGCGGUUUGUCGCGUCUGCUGUGAAAUUUCGGGGCUCAACCCCGAACUUGCGGUGGGUACGGGCAGACUAGAGUGUGGUAGGGGAGACUGGAAUUCCUGGUGUAGCGGUGAAAUGCGCAGAUAUCAGGAGGAACACCGAUGGCGAAGGCAGGUCUCUGGGCCACUACUGACGCUGAGAAGCGAAAGCAUGGGGAGCGAACAGG